rnacentral:rRNA from 1 species
UACGAAGGGGGCUAGCGUUGCUCGGAAUCACUGGGCGUAAAGCGCACGUAGGCGGCUUCUUAAGUCAGGGGUGAAAUCCUGGAGCUCAACUCCAGAACUGCCUUUGAUACUGAGGAGCUCGAGUCCGGAAGAGGUGAGUGGAACUGCGAGUGUAGAGGUGAAAAUUCGUAGAUAUUCGCAAGAACACCAGUGGCGAAGGCGGCUCACUGGUCCGGUACUGACGCUGAGGUGCGAAAGCGUGGGGAGCAAACAGG